AUUGAACGCUGGCGGCAGGCCUAACACAUGCAAGUCGAGCGGAUGAAGGGAGCUUGCUCCUGGAUUCAGCGGCGGACGGGUGAGUAAUGCCUAGGAAUCUGCCUGGUAGUGGGGGAUAACGUCCGGAAACGGGCGCUAAUACCGCAUACGUCCUGAGGGAGAAAGUGGGGGAUCUUCGGACCUCACGCUAUCAGAUGAGCCUAGGUCGGAUUAGCUAGUUGGUGGGGUAAAGGCCUACCAAGGCGACGAUCCGUAACUGGUCUGAGAGGAUGAUCAGUCACACUUGAACUGAGACACGGUCCAGACUCCUACGGGAGGCAGCAGUGGGGAAUAUUAGCCAAUGGGCGAAAGCCUGAUCCAGCCAUGCCGCGUGUGUGAAGAAGGUCUUCGGAUUGUAAAGCACUUUAAGUUGGGAGGAAGGGCAGUAAGUUAAUACCUUGAUGUUUUGACGUUACCAACAGAAUAAGCACCGGCUAACUUCGUG
rnacentral:rRNA from 1 species